rnacentral:rRNA from 1 species
AUGGUCGAAGCAGGCUUCAAGGAGGAAUUUGACGCGUAUGUGCGUAAUGCUGAGCUGGAGGACUUCUUACAAGAUAAGUGUCCUCAGUACUAUCAAUUGACUGAUUCCUUUGUGCGGCGGUUCAAAUAUAACUGUACGCGUAAUUCUCCUAGUGUCAUAUUUGAUAUUUAUGAUACAUCUUAUACCAUGGACUUAGAGGAUUUUACAACUGCUUGCAAACUUCCGCAGUGGGGCAAUAGUAAUGAUCCUCACAAAUCUGAAUUUAGAGAUUUCCUUGCUAGUAUUAUGGGAGAAUCUAGGGACAUAGCACAAGCUAUCACAGGGAGCAUUCAUUUUUCUGCUAUACAUUUUUUUGCUCUCUUCAUUGGUAGAUGCAUUAACGAUAAACAUGAAGCAUGUCACAUGUGUGUCCCUGAUCUGAGUGUCCUCAAGAGUGUCGUGUUAGGCUAUAAAGGUUAUAACUUGGGGGCAAUAGUUGCACAUAGGUUGCAGAAUAAUAGUAGAAAGGGAAAUUAUUUGGAGGAAUUUAUGCAACCCGUGUGGCUAAUUAUCUUGGUAUAG